rnacentral:RNase_P_RNA from 1 species
UGAGGAUACCGGACGGUUGCGCACGUCAGUGUGAGGAAAGUCCGAGCUCCACAGGGCAGGAUGCCGGGUAACACCCGGCGGAGGCGACUCCAGGGAAAGUGCAACAGAGAUAUACCGCAUGCCUGGCAUGUAAGGGUGGAAAGGCGAGGUAAGAGCUCACCCCGGCGUCAGGUAACUGAUGCCGGCUGUAAACCCCAUCCGGAGCAAGAAACGAAAGAACGAUUGAGGCGGCCCGCCAAGUUCUCAGGAUUUCGCUAGAGCCCGCUGGCAACAGCGGGACCAGAUAGAUAACCGUCGAUUACAGAACUCGGCUUACAGGUUUCACUCACUAU